GUCUGAGCUUCCUGACCUUAUGGGAGAGGACGGAGCUGGGCAGGACAGCCUUGCUGCUGCUCUCUUCUGCAUGUGAUGAUCCAGGGCAACACUUGAGGGAAUCCAGGGAAGACUGUGCUGGAAUAACUUCCAUCUUCUCCUCACACACCAGAAACCUGAUCCUCUGACAUGCAGAGUGCCCUCCUGAGCUCAGGAUGCUUCAGUGGGAGUCCUGGGAGUGUCCUAAAGCAAACCUGCAGGAUGUGAAAGACUGAGCAGAGGUCUGUCCCAGCUCCUGGAAGUGCUCCAUCCUACUCUGCUGCCUG